UACGUAGGUGGCAAGCGUUGUCCGGAAUUAUUGGGCGUAAAGCGCGCGCAGGUGGUUUCUUAAGGCUGAUGUGAAAGCCCACGGCUCAACCGUGGAGGGUCAUUGGAAACUGGGGAACUUGAGUGCAGGAGAGAAGAGUGGAAUUCCACGUGUAGCGGUGAAAUGCGUAGAGAUGUGGAGGAACACCAGUGGCGAAGGCGACUCUGUGGCCUGUAACUGACACUGAGGCGCGAAAGCGUGGGGAGCAAACAGG
rnacentral:rRNA from 1 species